rnacentral:rRNA from 1 species
CAUAUCAAUAAGCGGAGGAAAAGAAACCAACAGGGAUUGCCUCAGUAGCGGCGAGUGAAGCGGCAAAAGCUCAAAUUUGAAAUCUGGCGUCUUUGGCGUCCGAGUUGUAAUUUGAAGAAGGUAUCUUUGGGCCCGGCUCUUGUCUAUGUUCCUUGGAACAGGACGUCACAGAGGGUGAGAAUCCCGUGCGAUGAGAUGACCCGGGUCUGUGUAAAGUUCCUUCGACGAGUCGAGUUGUUUGGGAAUGCAGCUCUAAGUGGGUGGUAAAUUCCAUCUAAAGCUAAAUAUUGGCGAGAGACCGAUAGCGAACAAGUACAGUGAUGGAAAGAUGAAAAGAACUUUGAAAAGAGAGUGAAAAAGUACGUGAAAUUGUUGAAAGGGAAGGGCUUGAGAUCAGACUUGGUAUUUUGCAUGCUGCUCUCUCGGGGGCGGCCGCUGCGGUUUACCGGGCCAGCAUCGGUUUGGAGCGGCAGGAUAAUGGCGGAGGAAUGUGGCACGGCUUCUGCUGUGUGUUAUAGCCUCUGACGAUACUGCCAGCCUAGACCGAGGACUGCGGUUUUUACCUAGGAUGUUGGCAUAAUGAUCUUAAGUCGCCCGUCUUGAAACACGGAC